GGAGUCAAAUAGUGCGUGAAAUUGUUGAAAGGGAAACGAUUGAAGUCAGUCGUACAGACGAGAAAUCAACCUCUCGAGGGUGGGUUCGUUUUGCGUAUCUGCAUUCUUGGGGUGUAUUUUCUCGUAUUGUAGGUUAGCGUCGGUUUUGGUCAUUACAAAAUGAUUGGAGGAAUGUAGCUUCGAUCUCGGUCGAAGUGUUAUAGCCUCUGGUAGAUGUGACGGAUGGGAUCGAGGAUUGCAACGGAUACCCCUAUGGGCUAUCUGCCUGACCUCUGAUGCGUCACUCCGGUGUUGAAAGCUUGCUUAUGAUAUUGGAGCGUGCGUUCAAAAGGUUAGAGCGGAUUAAAUUCGUUAAGGACGCUGACGUAAUGGCUUUAAACGA
rnacentral:misc_RNA from 1 species